GCCGACGUUGGACAGUGGUAGUCCGCUUGCUUGGAGAGCAAGUUUCCGCAAGGUUAUGCGGGUUCGAUUCCUGCCGUUGGCG
rnacentral:tRNA from 1 species